rnacentral:rRNA from 1 species
CCGAAGCCAGUCGCAGAUACCAGCUGGCUGCAACUGUUUAAUAAAAACACAGCACUGUGCAAACACGAAAGUGGACGUAUACGGUGUGACGCCUGCCCGGUGCUGGAAGGUUAAUUGAUGGGGUCAGCCGCAAGGCGAAGCUCUUGAUCGAAGCCCCAGUAAACGGCGGCCGUAACUAUAACGGUCCUAAGGUAGCGAAAUUCCUUGUCGGGUAAGUUCCGACCUGCACGAAUGGCGUAAUGAUGGCCAGGCUGUCUCCACCCGAGACUCAGUGAAAUUGAACUCGCUGUGAAGAUGCAGUGUACCCGCGGCAAGACGGAAAGACCCCGUGAACCUUUACUAUAGCUUGACACUGAAUAUUGAGCCUUGAUGUGUAGGAUAGGUGGGAGGCAUCGAAGCGUGGACGCCAGUCUGCGUGGAGCCAACCUUGAAAUACCACCCUUUAAUGUUUGAUGUUCUAACUCGGCCCCAUAAUCUGGGGUGAGGACAGUGUCUGGUGGGUAGUUUGACUGGGGCGGUCUCCUCCCAAAGAGUAACGGAGGAGCACGAAGGUUAGCUAAUCACGGUCGGACAUCGUGAGGUUAGUGCAAAGGCAUAAGCUAGCUUGACUGCGAGAGUGACGGCUCGAGCAGGUACGAAAGUAGGUCUUAGUGAUCCGGUGGUUCUGAAUGGAAGGGCCAUCGCUCAACGGAUAAAAGGUACUCCGGGGAUAACAGGCUGAUACCGCCCAAGAGUUCAUAUCGACGGCGGUGUUUGGCACCUCGAUGUCGGCUCAUCACAUCCUGGGGCUGAAGUAGGUCCCAAGGGUAUGGCUGUUCGCCAUUUAAAGUGGUACGCGAGCUGGGUUUAGAACGUCGUGAGACAGUUCGGUCCCUAUCUGCCGUGGGCGUUGGAAGAUUGAGAGGGGCUGCUCCUAGUACGAGAGGACCGGAGUGGACGCAUCACUGGUGUUCGGGUUGUCAUGCCAAUGGCAUUGCCCGGUAGCUAAAUGCGGAAAAGAUAAGCGCUGAAAGCAUCUAAGCGCGAAACUUGCCUCGAGAUGAGUCUUCCCUGGGGCUUUAAGCCCCCUGAAGGAACGUUAAAGACUAUGACGUUGAUAGGCUGGGUGUGUAAGUGCAGCGAUGCAUUGAGCUAACCAGUACUAAUGAUCCGUGAGGCUUAACCUUACAACACCGAAGGUGUUU